UACGUAGGGGGCAAGCGUUGUCCGGAAUUAUUGGGCGUAAAGAGCGUGUAGGCGGCCAGAUAAGUCCGCUGUGAAAUCUCGAGGCUCAACUUCGAGCUGUCGGUGGAAACUAUCUGGCUAGAGUCCGGAAGAGGAGAAUGGAAUUCCUGGUGUAGCGGUGAAAUGCGCAGAUAUCAGGAAGAACACCGGUGGCGAAGGCGGGUCUCUGGGCAGUAACUGACGCUGAGGAGCGAAAGCGUGGGGAGCGAACAGG
rnacentral:rRNA from 1 species